rnacentral:rRNA from 1 species
GUCGAGCGAAGCACUUUGUUUUGAAUCUUCGGAGGAAGAACGAAGUGACUGAGCGGCGGACGGGUGAGUAACGCGUGGGCAACCUGCCUCAUACAGGGGGAUAACAGUUAGAAAUGACUGCUAAUACCGCAUAAGACCACGGUACUGCAUGGUACAGUGGUAAAAACUCCGGUGGUAUGAGAUGGGCCCGCGUCUGAUUAGCUGGUUGGUGAGGUAACGGCUCACCAAGGCAACGAUCAGUAGCCGACCUGAGAGGGUGACCGGCCACAUUGGGACUGAGACACGGCCCAAACUCCUACGGGAGGCAGCAGUGGGGAAUAUUGCACAAUGGGGGAAACCCUGAUGCAGCGACGCCGCGUGAGCGAUGAAGUAUUUCGGUAUGUAAAGCUCUAUCAGCAGGGAAGAAAAUGACGGUACCUGACUAAGAAGCCCCGGCUAACUACGUGCCAGCAGCCGCGGUAAUACGUAGGGGGCAAGCGUUAUCCGGAUUUACUGGGUGUAAAGGGAGCGUAGACGGCGAUGCAAGCCAGAUGUGAAAGCCCGGGGCUCAACCCCGGGACUGCAUUUGGAACUGUAUAGCUAGAGUGUCGGAGAGGCAGGCGGAAUUCCUAGUGUAGCGGUGAAAUGCGUAGGUAUUAGGAGGAACACCAGUGGCGAAGGCGGCCUGCUGGACGAUGACUGACGUUGAGGCUCGAAAGCGUGGGGAGCAAACAGGAUUAGAUACCCUGGUAGUCCA